GUGUGUAGGUUACUCUGAGUUAUGGCCAGUUUGAGAAUAAAAUGAACAGCGUGGGACUGAAGGGAGGUUUCAGUACAGAGGAGGAUCCAUCCAGGUUUAAAACCCUGCACUGUUUCCUGUACCCGCUGACAAGCUGGUGUCCACAUGCAUGAAAACACUUAAAUUCCCAGAAUCCCCCUGGAGGAACUUUCACACACUUGCACACACCGAGGACAUGCACCAUGUGUUCCUGUGUCACCAUGUGUCCCUGUGUCGCCAUGUGUCCUUGUUUCACCAUGUCUCCCUGUCUCAUAAUGUCCCUGUCACUAUGUGUCCCUGUGUCACCAUUUGUCCCUGUUUCACCUUGUCUCCCUGUGUCAUACUGUCCCUGUCACUAUGUGUCCCUGUGUCACCAAGUGUCCCUGUUUCACCAUGUCUCCAUGUCAUAAUGUCCCUGUCACCAUGUGUCACCAUGUGUCCCUGUGUCAACAUGUGCCCCUGUGUUCCUACGUGUCCCUGUUUCACAAUGUCCCUGUGUCACCAUGUGACCGUGUCCCUGUGUCACCAUGUGUCCCUGUUUCGCAGUGUCCCUGUCACCAUGUGACUGUGUCCCUGUGUAACUGUAUCCUUCUGUCACUGUCACCGUGUCACUAUGUCCAUGUGCCAUUGUGUCAUUACCGAGAAGAAGACGAGAGUUUUUGCAACUUUUUUUGCAGCUUUUUCUUAUGGAUCUGAACUCCCAUGUUGUCAUGUUCUCAGUCUCGGUGGAUCUGUAGCCCACAUGGAGGUUCUUCAGUAGCUUGAAACGUUCUUGAAUUGUGUCUUACCUUUUCACACUCCUGGCUGGCUCGCCAUCUGUCCCUGAUGUGUGAAGUGUUAUAAAUGAACAGCACAUUGUAAGAGGAGGUUGUUUCUUAUUCACAUACCAUAGUAUAUGUUCACGGGAUGAAGCUCUCACACUCCUCACAAACACUGCACACCUGAACAUGGUGUAUAUCCAUGCCUGAACAUUGAUUUAAUAAGAGCUUCCAAAUGUGAGGUCAGAGGUCAGAGCAUCCCAGGCUUGUAAUCUCAACAAUGAUUCAUCCUUGAAAUCUUGCAUGUAUCUUCGGUACUGCUCUCUUCAUGUACGCUAGAAGAACAAGAAAACAUCUCAAAACAAACGGUUAUUGAUCCCGGAUUAUUCAGACGGAGUGUAAAAGUGCUCUUAGAGAUGGUCCUUGUUCCUUAUUCCUGCUUUAAUUAUACGAUCUGUUUACAUUCUAGGUCAUAUUUACAUUUAUUAUAGUCUGCUGAAGUGUUCAGUACUCAGACUCCUAACAGAAAGCACUUAAACGAGUGUGUGUGUGUGUGUGUGUGUUUACUACAGACAAAAUGGACACUGAAAUAACAAUAAUACCCCUCAAUUAGUUUAAACAGGAACACACACGGGUGUGUAUCCGGCAUAACGCAGUGUGUACAUUACUGCAGUCUGUGUUUUACGUUGUACAGAGACAGACACAGUGUUUUCAUAAAAUGUCAAUAAAUUAUGCAGGUUUUUUUUAAAUUGAAAGAUGUGUGUACUGUAAUUGCUGCAGAAAUGUGCGUAUGUGUUAGUCAUUAAAAAAUUCCCUCAUGUUUAAAUGUGCGUUCAAAAUGAAACACACACACAAACACAUGGUGAGGAUUUGAUACUGAAACUACACAGAUUGGAAUUCAGACUUCUGAGACGUUACGUGAGGGGGCGGAGUUUGUCUAAAAGGUGUGUCGCAGUCACGCUCUGUUCUGAUCUUAAACUUAAGCACAGGUUUCAAAUCAAAAUAGUGAAUUAAAUAAAGAUGAAUCAAAUCUUCUACAUCACACACACGUUACGAUCUCAUGACCACAGUUUAAUGUCCGUGUCUUUCGUUAAAUUCGUGUAAAGUGUCAGGACACGAUAUAAAAAAAUCGAAUGGAAAACAAUAGUCUGUGCUGGAUCAAGUGCUAAUUUACUGUAUGAGUGUGGAAGCCAUUUUGUUCAGUUAAAUCCGUGAAUAAUGGGAUAAUUCGGAUGAAUUAGGUUUCGACGUGAGUGUUUGUGUUUAGUGGCGUCUUAGACACUUCUCGAGAACGAUCUGCAGGUGAUUUUAAUAAUCUGAACACAGAGCUUCAACUUAAGUGUACUCUGAUUCUGAAUGCCAGGAACUUUCCCCAGUAUUCCCCCUAUAUAAACCACACAAACACCACCAUCGUUUCCCCGAGGGUGCAUCCCAAACCACAGCGCUUGAUUUACAGUAUCAAUAGUUUUUUUUUUUUUUGCUUCUAGACUGUUUUAUUUCUCUGUGAGUGGAACGAGAGGUGUUGAGUUGCGCUGUGGGUGAAAAAAAGAAACGAGGUCUUUGGGGAACGUUUAGGGUUGUGUUUCAUUUAGAUCGUCGAGGUGUAGAGCAGGUCUCAUACGGAUGGAAAGUCAUAAAGAUGAGUCGUAAAGCAGCUCCUGUCAGCAUUGUGUGUAUAAUUAUUGGUUUUGUUGGAGUAAUUGUUCCCUGCUCACCGCGCUGUAUUGAACACACUGCUAUUAGUGUAAUAGUGUGCUUUAUAACUCGUCGUCACUGAUGGUCACCCUGAGACUCAGCUUUUCAUUAUCUCAAGCUCGUGUGUGUGUGUGUGUGUGUGUGUGUGUAAUGAUUGUAAACACAAAGAGCUUUUAAUACAAGUUCAGAUUGCUGUGGUUAUGUGGUAACAGAACUAAACCCAACAUGGUCCCCCCCCAACCAGUCAGUCCUGGAUGGCUUUUGGUUCCUGUUCAAACAUCAGCACCAACAGGACCUAAGGUUCCUGAGAGGGUGGGGCAAGCAGUAUUGUGUGUUACACUAUACAUUAAUUUUAGAGCAGGAGAAAGUAAACACUACACACUAACGUACCAGAGAACAUCAUCCCUUUACUUGAGAAUUCAAAUUUCAAACAUAAACACACUGAGCUGUAGUUGAGCGUUCAGCUCAAACACACCCCUGCAUUCAUCUAUACCUAUAAAGCCACGCCCAUUCAUUGCCAUCACCCCUUACUUCUGUAUAUAGACUCAGACACGCCCAUUUAUUCAUUGUUAAGCGCGGAUAAAUAAUAAACAGUGUCUGAUGCUAUUAUAGACAAACAGGGUCUUUGUUUGUGUUUGUGUGUGUGUGUGUGUGUGUGUGUGUGUGUGUGUUUUGUGUGUUUGUGGGUGUUCAGUCUUGGCACACGACCUGCCUCGCUUCUGCGCUCUGUUACCAUAGAAACCUGAGUACCAGAGUCAGUGAUGGAGAG
ensembl:lncRNA